rnacentral:rRNA from 1 species
UACGGAGGGGGCUAGCGUUGUUCGGAAUUACUGGGCGUAAAGCGCACGUAGGCGGCUUCUUAAGUCAGGGGUGAAAUCCUGGAGCUCAACUCCAGAACUGCCUUUGAUACUGAGUAGCUUGAGUCCGGGAGAGGUGAGUGGAACUGCGAGUGUAGAGGUGAAAUUCGUAGAUAUUCGCAAGAACACCAGUGGCGAAGGCGGCUCACUGGCCCGGUACUGACGCUGAGGAGCGAAAGCUGGGGGAGCAAACAGGG